AGAUCAGUCUCAAACACUUAACUUGCCAAUUUUAAUCUGUGAAAAUGUAAUAAAAGGCCUUCCUCGAAUGUGAUAAUUGAUCCAAAAUCUUCAUUUGCGCCGGAUAUGCUUCUUUCAUAGUGAUACAGUGAAACGUCUUGAUGCUACGAAGAGCUGACCAAUACUGGUGCUCAGCUCCUCGCUCGCAAAAGGACGCAAGGACCUCGCUUAAUACAGAGAGAACUUGGCAGAAAAUGAACAAAGUAGUCGUUCAUUCCCGCUCUCCGCUCCGUCUAGUUGACCUCGUUGUCAGUGGAAGGCGAAAUAAAUUAUUUUAA